UUUUAACAUCGCUCUCAGGUGUUAAACGUGAAGGAUAACGUUGCGUCAGCAACGGCCCGAAGGGCGAGGCGAAGCCGAGUCAUCCUGCACGACCCACCA
rnacentral:sRNA from 1 species